CGCUGGAAUCCCGUGUUCAGCCCCUGGACAGUUCCUGAUCGAGAACCUCUUCUUAUUAUUAUCGGGCACAUGGAGUCCUUGGUGUGAGUGUGGGGGGAAGCCCUGCCAGAACAUCAUGCCUCCCUCCCGAGAAGGGGUUAUCUUGCUGAUCCAGUGACAGCCUCGUCGUCUCCGCUGAAGGAUGCAGCUUUCAGUCCGGAGGAGGUGUUUUCGUGCUGCGCUGUCUUCUGAGAGGCGAUACGGGUGCUGCUCGGCCAACGCAGAUUUGAGGGGAAUCGCAGCCUACACACAGCAAGAUCCGAGCAUCCUUCACACUGAUCAUCAUCAUAACCAUCAUCGGCGAGAAGGGAGAUAUUACCAUCAUCACCGCGAGGGCAAAGGAGUCACGACCACUUACACAAUGUAGAAAACAUAAGAGGUUUGGAAGGAGCCAAGGAGUGGUGAAAUCACAUUUCACACUUUGGGUCAUUUAGUGUGGACGUCUAUCUUCAACAUAGGACCUCAACAUGAGCAACCCCCAGGCUCCUCCAAAGUCCAGGGUCUCGGAGCUGGAGGUGAUCUCCCAGCAGGUGGAGGAGGACAACCAGGCCCCUGUCCAGCUGGUCAGCUUCGCCUACAGAGACCUACCUUUGGCCGGCCUGGACAUUUCCCUUGCUGGAUCCCAGCUCAUCUCGAACCCGGACGAGGAGGACAACAGGGAUGGGUACUACUGGCUGAUGUCCUGCUGCG